rnacentral:lncRNA from 1 species
AGGGAGAGACAAUUGAUGAAUACAAACAACAAAAGGAUGAAAACAUUCAAAUAUUAUAUAGCAAAUAGCCGUUUUGUCUGACUUAAUAAUGUGAUUUUAGGGGCCUAAUGGAUAAUUAGGGUACUCAACUUCAAAUUUUCCUCUUUUCUCUUAUCAAAAUGACAAGCUUUUCUUCGCUUUAAGAUUUUUCGAAGGGACUCUACUUUUUUUAAGUGCAUUGGAAAGUCGAAAAUGGGGGACACUGUUCUAUCAACAACUAACAAGUGUCCACUUAACUUUAUGCUUAAUGAUGCUAAAGCCCUUGAAGUACUUAAAACAUAUCCUUGCCCAUUUAGUCUGUUUCCAAUCUUGGCGAAGGCUUUAGAAGUGCUGGAUUUUUAGGACAUCUGACAAUAGAUGGUUAUAAUAUAUAUGGAAUAUUAAAAGAUGUAACAACUAACAAGGAUGCCAAAACAUAUGAUUGUUUUAUAAAGUUAUGAAUAUACUUAUGGAAAAAAGCUUAUUUCCACAUAAGUUGUGGUUAAGUUCACAUUUCUUCUACAAUUUACAAGCAAGAUCGUGAUCUAGAAUAAGUCGGUAUUCUUGAAGUACAAUUGAAUACAAUGCAAGCAGGCUCUACGAAUAAAAUAAUAAUUAUAAUUUCUUAGAAGGUUAUUUUAUCACCAAUGAUUAAUUUACCAAAAUUUUAAGAAAUAUUAUUGAUAACUGAAAGGCUAAUUUUGACAUAAUAACUGAAUGAUUUGA